GAUGAACGCUAGCGGGAGGCUUAACACAUGCAAGUCGAGGGGUAGGGAAGCAAUUCCUGAGACCGGCGGACGGGUGCGUAACGCGUAUGCAACCUGCCUUAUACAGGGGGAUAGCCCAUGGAAACGUGGAUUAACACCCCAUAGGAUUACGGGAUCGCAUGAUUUUGUGAUUAAAACUGAGGUGGUAUAAGAUGGGCAUGCGUCUGAUUAGGUAGUUGGUAGGGUAAUGGCCUACCAAGCCGACGAUCAGUAGGGGUUCUGAGAGGAUUACCCCCCACACUGGUACUGAGACACGGACCAGACUCCUACGGGAGGCAGCAGUGAGGAAUAUUGGUCAAUGGCCGGAAGGCUGAACCAGCCAUCCCGCGUGCAGGAUGACGGCCCUAUGGGUUGUAAACUGCUUUUGUACCUGAAGAAUAGGCCCAACGAGUUGGGAUUUGCCGGUAAGGUAUGAAUAAGCAUCGGCUAACUCCGUGCCAGCAGCCGCAGUAAAAC
rnacentral:rRNA from 1 species